GAACCUUUGGGUGGUUGCCCAGAAGCAGUCAGCACUGAGGCGAGCUAACCUCACAUCUAAUGGUGAAAGACAAUGCUGUCCCUGUGAGAUCAGGAAGAAGGCAAGGAUGUCCACUCACCGCUUACUCAACUGAGCACUGGAAAUUCUAGCCAGGGCUAUAAGGUAAGAAAAGUAAUUAAAAGACAUAAUUAAAAGAUAUACAGACAUAAUUAAAAGUAAUUAAAAGACAUAGAGAUUGCAAAGGAAGAAAUGAAGCUAUCACUGCAAAUGAUAUCAUCUCUGUAGACUAUUGCAAGGAAUCUACAAAAAAUAUCCUAGAACUAGUAAAUGGGUUCAUCAAGUUUGCAGGAUACAAAAGAAACAUCAAAAAACCAAUUGUACUUCAAUAUACUAGCAAUGAAUACAUGGACACCAAAAUUAAAAACACUAUGCUAUUUACAACUGCUUAAAAAUGAAAUAUUUUGUUAUAAGUGUAACAAAAUGUGUAUAGGAUUGUAUGUUUAUUUAUUUAUUUUAUUUAUUUUUUUGAGGCAGGGUCUCUCUCUGUCACCUAGGCUGGAGUGCAGUGCUCUGAUCAUGGCUCACUGCAACUUUGACCACUUGGGCUCAAGGGAUCCUCAUACCUCAUCUUCCCUAGUAGCUGGGACUACAGCUCCGUUACACUAUACCUGGCUAAUUUUUAAUUUUUUUAUAGAGGCAGGGUCUUGCUAUGUUGCCUAGGCUAGUCUUGAACUUUUGGCCCCAAGUGAUCCUUCUGCCUCAGCCUCCCAAAGUGCUGGGAUUACAGGCAUGAGCCACCAAGCCCUGCCAGGAUCGCAUGUUUACUAGUACAUAAUUCUGAUCAAAGAAAUAAAAGAAGAUCUAAAUACAUGGAGAAAUAUAUUUUGUUCAUUUACUGGAAGGCUCAACAUAGUAAAGAUGUCAUUUUCCCCUAAAUUGAUGCACUAGUUUAACCCAAUUCCUAUCAAAAUCUCAGCAAGAUUUUUUUUUUGUAAAUAUGAACAAGACUAUUCUAAAAUUUAUUUGGAAAGACAAGAGGACUUGAAUAGCUAAAACAAAUUUGAAAAAGAAGAAUAAAGUGGAAGGAGUCAAUCUAUAUGAUUUCAAGACUUAUUAUAUCGCUGUCAUGAUCAACAUUGUGUUGCAGUGGUGAAGGAAAGACAUACAGAUCGAUAACCCAGACACAGACUUGCACAAAUAUGCCCAACGGAUUUGGCAAAUGUACAAAAGCAAUUCAAUGGGUAAAAGAUAGCCUUUCAGCAAAUGGUGCCAGAGCAAUUAGCCAUUCAUAAGGCAAACAAGUUGAACCUUGAACAAAAUCUCACACCUUAUGCAAAAAUUAGCUAAAAAUGGAUCAUGAACCUAGAUGUAAACUAUGAAACUUAGGAAAAAACCUAGGACAAAAGCUUUGAGAUAUAGGGCCAGGCAAAGAGCUCUUAGACUUUGUUUCAAGAAGCAUAAUCCAUAAAAGGAAAAAUGGACUAGUUGGGCUUCAUCAAAAUAAAAACUUUUUCUCAGCAAAAGACCCAGUUAAGAAGCUGAAAAUAUAAAUUACAGAGUGGGAAAGAAUAUUUGCAAACCACGUAUUUGACAAAGGAGUAGUAUCUAGAAUAUAUAAAGAAUGCUCAAAAUUCAAUAGUAAAAAAGCAAGUCAUUCAACUAGAACAUGGCAUGAAUGAGUGAAAAGGCAUGAACAGACAUUUCCCCAAGGAAGAUAUACAGAUGGCAAAUAAACACAUGAAAAGAUGUUCAAUUUGGCUAUCCAUCAGGGGAAUGCAAAUUAAAAUCAUAAUAAGAUAUUCUUAAAUAUCUGUCAGGAUGGCUAAAAUAGGGAAAAAUUGACUAUAACAAAAGCUGGUGAGAAGGUGUCCAAACAGAAUUCCUCAUACACUGCUGGAGGGAAUAUAAAAUAUUAUAGCCAUUGUAGAAAAUAUGUUAGUAGUUUCUUAAAAAAAAAAAACUUUCAAUUACCAUAGGACCUGGCAAUUGCACUCCUGAGCAUUUAUCCCAGAGAAAUGAAUACUUGUGUUCACACAGAAACCUGCAUACGAAAGUUUAUAGCAGCUUUAUUUGUAAUAGAAACUGAAAACACCUAGACAUCCUUGAACAGUCUAUGGUUUAGCAAACUGUAGCACACCCAAACCAUGGAAUACUACUCAGCAAUAAAACUAUUGAUGUGCGUGGCAACCCGCAUGAAUUUCCAGAGAAUAUCAUGGAAUGAAGAAAGCCAGCCCCGAAAGAAACAAAGCAAGGAUGCUCACUCUCACCCCUUUUAUUCAGCUUAGUGCUGGAAAUUCUAGCCAGGGCUAUAAGGUAAGAAAAGGAAUGAAAAGACAUACAGAUUGGAAAGAAAUAAAUGUAGCUAUUCCUGUUUCCAAAUGAUAUCAUCUAUGUAGAAUAUUCCAAGGAAUCUAAAAAAAGUCUCCUAGAACUAGUAAAUGAGUUCAGCAAGGUUGAAGGACACAAAAGAAACAUCUGUACAAAACAUCUGUACAAAAGAAACAUGCUGUAUGAUUCCAUUUAUGUAAUUGUAUUAGUCUGUUUUCACACUGUUGUAAAGAAAUACUGGAGACUGGGUAAUUUGUAAAGGAAAGAGGUUUAAUUGACUUGCAGUUCCAUCUGGCUGGGGAAGCCUCAGGAAACUUACAAUCAUGAUGGAAAGUGAACGGGAAGCAAGCACCUUCUUCACAAGUCGGCAGGAGAGAGAAGAGAGCAUGUGAAGGAGGAACUGUCAAACACUUACAAAACCAUCAGAUCUCAUGAGCACUCACUCAGUAUCACUAGAGCAGCAUGGGGGAAACCACCUCCAUGAUCCAAUUACCUCCUACCAGGUCCCUCCCUCGACACGUGGGGAUUAUCAGGAUUACAAUUUGAGAUGAGAUUUGGGUGGGGACACAGAGCCAAACCGUAUCAGUAACAAAAUUCUAGAAAUGGAGAACAAAUCAGUGACUGCCAGGUGUUAAAGAGGGGUGGGCAGGGGCGAGAAGUGGGUGUGGCUAUGAAAGGGUUGCGGGAGGGACUCUGUGGAGGCAGAAUGUUCUGUAUCCUGGCUGUACCCAUGUCAAUAUCCUGUUUGUUAUAUCGCACUACAGUUCUGCAAGAUGCUACCACUGGGGGAAACUGAG
rnacentral:lncRNA from 1 species